rnacentral:rRNA from 1 species
GUAGCGUGAAGGAUGACUGCCCUAUGGGUUGUAAACUUCUUUUAUACGGGAAUAAAGUGAGGCACGUGUGCCUUUUUGUAUGUACCGUAUGAAUAAGGAUCGGCUAACUCCGUGCCAGCAGCCGCGGUAAUACGGAGGAUCCGAGCGUUAUCCGGAUUUAUUGGGUUUAAAGGGAGCGUAGGCGGACGCUUAAGUCAGUUGUGAAAGUUUGCGGCUCAACCGUAAAAUUGCAGUUGAUACUGGGUGUCUUGAGUACAGUAGAGGCAGGCGGAAUUCGUGGUGUAGCGGUGAAAUGCUUAGAUAUCACGAAGAACUCCGAUUGCGAAGGCAGCCUGCUGGACUGUAACUGACGCUGAUGCUCGAAAGUGUGGGUAUCAAACAGGAUUAGAUACCCUGGUAGUCCACACAGUAAACGAUGAAUACUCGCUGUUUGCGAUAUACAGUAAGCGGCCAAGCGAAAGCGUUAAGUAUUCCACCUGGGGAGUACG